rnacentral:rRNA from 1 species
AGAGUUUGAUCCUGGCUCAGGAUGAACGCUGGCGGCAUGCCUAAUACAUGCAAGUCGAACGAGGAUCCUUGUGGAUCCUAGUGGCGAACGGGUGAGUAACACGUAGGGAACCUGCCCGCGCACCGGGAAUACGCUCUGGAAACGGAGAACAAAUCCCGAUGUACAGGAAGGAGGCAUCUUCUUUCUGUGAAACAUCCUGUAAGGGAUGGGGCGCGGAUGGACCUGCGGUGCAUUAGUUGGUUGGCGAGGGUAAAGGCCCACCAAGACGAUGAUGCAUAGCCGGCCUGAGAGGGCGGACGGCCACAUUGGGACUGAGACACGGCCCAGACUCCUGCGGGAGGCAGCAGUAGGGAAUUUUCGUCAAUGGGCGCAAGCCUGAACGAGCGAUGCCGCGUGAGUGAAGAAGGCCUUCGGGUCGUAAAGCUCUGUUGCGGGGGAAAAAAGGCAUCUGCAGGAAAUGGUAGAUGACAGAUGGUGCCCCGCCAGAAAGUCACGGCUAACUACGUGCCAGCAGCCGCGGUAAUACGUAGGUGGCGAGCGUUAUCCGGAAUGAUUGGGCGUAAAGGGUGCGCAGGCGGUCCUGCAAGUCUGGAGUGAAACGUAUGACCUCAACUCAUGCA